rnacentral:rRNA from 1 species
UACGUAGGGGGCUAGCGUUGUCCGGAUUUAUUGGGCGUAAAGAGCGUGUAGGCGGCCAGGUAGGUCUGCUGUGAAAACUCGAGGCUCAACCUCGAGACGUCGGCGGAAACCAUCUGGCUAGAGUCCGGAAGAGGAGAGUGGAAUUCCUGGUGUAGCGGUGAAAUGCGCAGAUAUCAGGAAGAACACCAGUGGCGAAGGCGGCUCACUGGUCCAUUACUGACGCUGAGGUGCGAAAGCGUGGGGAGCAAACAGG